AUGGGGCUGGCCAACCGGAUCGGCGCGGUGGCCCUGGCCGUGGCCUGCGCCGUCCUGCUGCUGGGCGUCGCGUGCCGGGCCGGCCAGACUAGCGAGUACCGGCGGCUGCUCGGCCAGGCCAUCGACAUGCCGCUCGACGCCGACGUCUUCCGCGCUCCACCCGGCCACAAUGCGCCGCAGCAGGUUCAUAUAACGCAAGGCGACCACGAAGGUACAGCCAUGAUAAUCUCAUGGGUGACAACUGUCGAACCUGGAUCAAGCACAGUGCUUUACGGGACUUCAGAAGAUAAUCUCAACUGUUCCGCAAAGGGAAAGCAUUCGCAGUAUACAUUCUACAAAUAUACCUCGGGAUACAUUCAUCAUUGUACAAUCAAGAAGCUGAAGUUUGACACAAAGUAUUACUAUGCCGUUGGAACUGAAGAGACGAAGAGGAAGUUUUGGUUCAGGACCCCUCCGAAAAGUGGCCCAGAUGUUCCAUAUACAUUUGGUCUAAUAGGUGAUCUCGGUCAGAGUUUCGACUCGAAUGUCACGCUCGCUCAUUACGAGUCCAAUUCAAAAGCCCAGGCGGUACUUUUCGUCGGGGACCUGACAUAUGCAGAUAAUUACCCAUAUCAUGAUAAUACAAGGUGGGAUACGUGGGCAAGAUUUGUAGAACGGAAUCUUGCAUACCAGCCUUGGAUCUGGACAGCUGGAAACCAUGAGAUAGAUUUCGCUCCUGAACUUGGCGAAACGAAGCCAUUCAAGCCAUACAGCAGCAGGUAUCACACACCCUAUAAGUCUUCCGGUAGUACGGCACCUUACUGGUAUUCCAUCAAAAGAGCCUCAGCCUAUAUUAUUGUCCUGGCAUCAUACUCUGCAUACGGAAAAUACACCCCUCAGUACAAGUGGCUUGAAUCCGAGUUCCCCAAGGUAAACAGGAGCGAGACGCCAUGGCUGAUCGUUCUGAUGCACGCCCCAUGGUACAACAGCUACAACUACCAUUACAUGGAAGGUGAAAGCAUGAGAGUGAUGUACGAGCCGUGGUUCGUGAAGUACAAAGUCGAUCUUGUGUUCGCAGGGCAUGUCCACGCCUACGAACGGACACAUAGGAUUUCAAAUGUUGCAUACAACAUCGUAAAUGGCUUGUGCUCCCCAAUCCAAGACCAGUCGGCGCCGGUCUACAUAACCAUCGGCGACGGAGGGAACCAGGAAGGGCUGGCCACCAACAUGUCAGAGCCGCAGCCAAGCUACUCAGCCUUCAGGGAGGCGAGCUUCGGGCACGCCAUCCUGGACAUCAAGAACCGGACGCACGCCUACUACGCCUGGCACCGCAACCAGGACGGCGCCGCCGUGGCCGCAGACUCCCUCUGGUUCACCAACAGGUACUGGAUGCCCACCGACGACUCCUUCGACGAUGUCUGA
rnacentral:rRNA from 1 species